rnacentral:rRNA from 1 species
GUGCCAGCCGCCGCGGUAAUACAGAGGGGGCAAGCGUUGUUCGGAAUUACUGGGCGUAAAGGGCGCGUAGGCGGCCGCCUAAGUCAGACGUGAAAUCCCUCGGCUCAACCGGGGAACUGCGUCUGAUACUGGGUGGCUUGAAUCCGGGAGAGGGAUGCGGAAUUCCAGGUGUAGCGGUGAAAUGCGUAGAUAUCUGGAGGAACACCGGUGGCGAAGGCGGCAUCCUGGACCGGCAUUGACGCUGAGGCGCGAAAGCCAGGGGAGCAAACGGGAUUAGAUACCCCCGUAGUCC